rnacentral:lncRNA from 1 species
UGCCAGACACACUGACAGAGCCUCAGGGGUCCAACGGCACAAGCGCCAACUUGCAUGUCGGACACAAUGGAGUCAUGCAGUGGGGUGAAUUGUCAGGAUGAGCUUCAGACGACAACCCGGAGCUAUGAGAGUCAGCUGAGCAUGAUGAGUGAACAUCUCUGCAGCAUGAAUGAGAAACUCACAGCUCAAAAAGACCAGAUUGAUGCGCUCAAACUCUCCGCCAAACCGAACAAGAAAGG